rnacentral:lncRNA from 1 species
ACAUCGCACGCCGAUGCCAGUUGCCGACGCCGGAUUUUCUGCGACACGGGGCCCUUAACGCUCUCGCGUUAAUAUUUGGGGUGGGAAAAGUAUGAUAUACAUCUGUCUUGGGUAUACACUGCUCAUAGAUGAGUGUCCACAUUCUUUUAAAUUAGUGCACUUCCUUUGCUACCAACUGAUUCAGUGGUGUUCCCUUCUUUCCCAGUGGCACAUUCACUUAGAUUCUAUUGCCAUUGACUUAGUCACCCAUUGUACAUUAUCUGUGCCAUGCAAAAAAUGCCAUCACACCGCCCACUGCACCAAAAUGUUUUACAUGUCAAACUAGCUAUGUUGCCAAUCCUUUGGUCUCGGGAACUACAUAAUGGCCCUUGCCGCAUCCAAAGAAUGCAUGAUGGCCACUCAUUUGUAUAUCUGAAGCUGAAGUUCCCACUGUGGUUAAAAUGCAAGUGUUAACAAAGAGCCUCUGCCAACAAAACAUGCUGUGUCUGCCCUACAUCCCUCCACAAUACAAUAAAAUGACUCUCUUGUGGAUCAUACCAGCACCACGAGGAAGCACCGUAGUUUUGUUGGCAACAGUAAACAUGCCAUGGGCAAAAACUGCACGCAUGGACAGUCAAGAUAGGCACUUGUAUGAGCAAAGAGGACGAUGUGCAGAACGAACACAGGUGCAGUAAUAUGCACGGAGACUUUAUAAAGGUGUUAGUAGUUGGAUCACAUGGACCUUGCUUGCAUUUUGAGAACCUUGUCUACAUCACUCCCCGUAUGUAGAAAGCAAGAUCUUAACCCAUGACCAAAGGAUGCAACACUAAAGGCAGUGUUUUAAAACCUCCACAGACAGAAGUAUUACAUGUACUUCAUGAACGAACACUCCUAUCCUUCCCUCUAGGAUCACAAGAGGUUCAAUACACACCUUAGCUUGUAACUGGCUACAGGCAUAAUAAUAAUAAAGAAAUUGCUCUUGUCAUUCAAACAUUUUGUACAGUUUCAUGUACCUCAUUGUUGGCAUAGCUAAGAAUGGCCUUGCACAACUACAUUAAAACAAAUUGUAGGAGAAAGAAAAGACUAAUAUUCAUGCUUGAAGUCCUUUUGCACCUGUUCAUGAUUUGAACAGGGUUUGUUUUGCAGUGUAAAGGUUUGGUAAUUUUAUCCUUGUACUUUUUAUAGGCUCCAUUACACAUUUAACACAACACGUUUGCUAGUUUGCACCACUGCUGUAGAUAGCCAUGCACAAAGUGAUAAUGGUGCAAAAUGAUGUGCACCAAUAAAAUUUUCAAGUGAGAAUCAAGGGAUAAGAAAGUUUGGAGAUGGCUUUGUCAUUGUGUUAAGAAUGCAUGUUUAUGGUCGGCGUAUAAAAUGGGAGCAAUGGGAGUGCUGUAACAAAUUACUGAUGACUGGUGUUGGUAUUGUCUGUAAGCAAGGAAAAGAAAAGUGCAGAAUGUGUGCAGCAGGAACUGAUAAAAAAUAUUUUUAUGCAGAAAAAGACAUAGUUAUGGCUAGCUUUAUAAAAGUGCAUUUAGGCAGAAUACUAGUUUCGGGAAAGGUGCUGAAGCCAUAGCAAAACACACUAGUAUUUUAUCUACAAGUAAAUGAAUAUGACCACCUUGUAAACAUUGUCUCAAUUCAGAUUCUCUAGAGCACUACUAAUAGCUGGUGUCCGAAACAUACUGUUGUAGAUUGUAGCAUUGUAUAUUCAUAAUAUUUUACAGUUAUUGAAAACUAGCUGCAAUGCAUUAUGCCAAUACAGGUGACAUUGCAUGCACAGUUGUGCAGCUUCCUCAGGUGCAUAGCAUUGCAGCAGUGAAGUAAUGACUGCAGUUGACUUCCACUAAUUCAUCUGCCUUGCUUGCUCUAUGCAAUUCUACCACUGAGCACAAGGCUCCAGGUUUAUCGGCUGCGGUCGCCAUACCCUGAUAACAGCGGAAUGCAAAGAUGCUUGUGCACUUAGAUUCAGGUGUUAGUUAAAGAACCUAGGGUCAAAAUUAAUCCCCAGGUCCUGAAUUAUGGCAUCCCUCAAAGCCCACUGUGCACCUAAGGAUGCAAGACCUUGUCAAUUGUAAAGCUUUCAUUAAUUCAACCUCGAUGCCAUGCAGAAUUUGUUACUUAUUCGAGCAUUAAGGCUCUCCUAUAAAUUCACUUCAACCUGCAUUUCAUUAAUUCAAAAUUAGGUUUGAUAAAGACUGCACUUGCACUUGGAACUGGGGCUGUAGAAUCAACCUUGCAAUGUUGAGAUUCUCUUUCAUGAGACAUUUAGUAGAUGGAGGACCACUGCGAGACAAUUUUUUAUUUCAAUUUUACUCAUGGCAGACAACUGAUUCAGUGCUAGCGAUGCAACAAAGCAGGACCUUGGUUGGAUCUGUGACAGGUAGAUAUAAAGAAUGCAUGAAAUCAUCCAUGCACCUGCUGUGGCUUGGGUGCCCCAGAAGAUGCCACUGUUUGUGCAACUUGCACUUUGCACAUGGCUAUUGCACUCUCUUUGUAUAUUGAAAAAGUAACUUGGGUACUGUUUGCCCAUUUGGUGUGUCUGUACACAUUGCUGAUUCUCUGUUGCUUCAACCAUCAAUAUUACCAACAUUCUACAUCUCAAGUUCGUAUCACCUUCUUUUCCUUUUUAGAAAUGUAUAGGCGCUUGCACUGGCCUUUCCAAUUUAUCAAAUGAAGUCAGGAGUUGAAUAGUCAGAUAUAAAGGAGGUAUAACAAUACUGUUAAUUGAUGUCUUUCUGGCUAGACUGUUGAAAUUGGGUUAAUGUGGCAUGUACUGGUAUGUAGAAUGCAGCAGUUAUAGUUUCAGCAUCUGUUUCUGUAUUUUAUUGUCACACACUGUAUCCAACACAUUCAGCAUCUGGACUGGCACUUUCGUGGGUAGUGAACUAUCUGGCUUGUAAGAAUAGUCUUUUCUAAUAUGGCUUGCUCAUAUUUCCUUAGUGAUUGUUGGUUAUAUUUGUAAAUAUUGUGUCUAAGCUUAAUCUUUUUCCCUUCUCAGCAAGAAGCAUGCAUGGAGUUGCUGAACAGGCAAAUAGCUGUUGACACACAUGCCAGGGUGCGGCAUAAUUAUAUGCUGCAU